rnacentral:rRNA from 1 species
GUAGGGUGCGAGCGUUGUCCGGAAUUAUUGGGCGUAAAGAGCUUGUAGGCGGUUUGUCGCGUCUGCUGUGAAAAUCCGGGGCUCAACCCGGACUUGCAGUGGGUACGGGCAGGCUAGAGUCGGAGGAGGGAGAUGGAAUUCCUGGUGUAGCGGUGAAAUGCGCAGAUAUCAGGAGGAACACCGAUGGCGAAGGCAGGCUC